CCUGACAGGAGAGAGGUGCUGAAGGUAUUCCAUGACAAUGUGACCGCUGGGCAUUCGGGUAUUAAUAUAACGGUGUCCGCCAUUUCCAGGUCAUUUUGGUGGGAGUCACUCAGGAGGGAUAUUAAAGAUUAGGUAGAAGCCUGCUCUAUCUGUGUAGUUUAAAAGGUUCCUCAUAAUCUUCCGUGUGGAUUGUUACAGCCACUUCCUAUACCCAGUAUCCCAUGGUCUCAUUUAUCGAUGGAUUUCAUUGUUGAACUGCCUAGUUCCAAUGGGUAUACUACCAUCCUCAUGGUAGUUGACCGUUUUUCCAAAAUGGCAUACUUUACUCCACUUAAAAAAUUGCCAUCGUCUCAGGACCUGGUGCACAUAUUUAUAUGCGAUAUUGUCAGGCUACAUGGUAUUAAUCAAAAUACUGUGCCUGAC